rnacentral:misc_RNA from 1 species
CGGAAGUAAAAGUCGUAACAAGGUUUCCGUAGGUGAACCUGCGGAAGGAUCAUUAAAAAAUUGGACUCCAUUGGUGAGUUCAUUAAUAAUCCCUACCCUUUGUGAAUUUGUUUGUUUGAAUAAUUUUUUUUCCAAAAAAAAUUAUUGAAUGUCUUUCCCUGUUUUGGUGGAGCUUGUAAAGUGAAACCAGGCAGGGGAAUGGCAAACAAUAAUUAUUUUUGAAAAAAGACCUUUUUUUAAAAUUAAACUUUUUGUAUUCAUUUGUCUAAAAUUAUUUUUAUAAUAUAAAAACAACUUUUGACAAUGGAUCUCUUGGUUCUCGCAACGAUGAAGAACGCAGCAAAAUGCGAUAAGUAGUGUGAAUUGCAGAAUACGUGAAUCAUCGAAUCUUCGAACGCAUAUUGCACUUUUUUAGUUUACUAAAAAAGUAUGUCUGUUUGAGUAUCAGUAAAAUAUUCUCAUAAAAAACAUUGUUUUUUUAUGGUUAUGAGUGUUUUACAACGAUAACAAGUUGUUUCACUUUAAAUUCUUUGUUAUCAAAAAAAUCAUUAAAAGCUAAUUUUAAAGAUUUUUUAAAAUUGGAUAAAAUUUUCCCGUAAAAAGGAAUAACCUAAACAAUUUUAAAAAAUUAAAAUUGGUUUGAUUUUUUUUGAAACCCAAAGGAAAAAAAAACGAAAUUAACUUGAUCUCAAAUCAGAUAAGAGUACCCGCUGAACUUAAGCAUAUCAAUAAGCGGAGGAAAAGAAACUAACUAGGAUUCCCUCAGUAACGGCGAGUGAAGCGGGAAGAGCUCAAAUUUGAAAUCUUCAAGGUUUUACCUUGACGAAUUGUAGUUUAAAGAAGUGUUUUCUGUUGGAGUUUUGGUAAAAGUUCUUUGGAAAAGGACAUCAUAGAGGGUGAGAAUCCCGUAUUUGACCAUUAUCUCCAGCUUUGUGAUACACUUUCAAAGAGUCGGAUUGUUUGGGAAUGCAGUCCAAAAUGGGUGGUAAAUUUCAUCUAAAGCUAAAUACUGGCGAGAGACCGAUAGCGAACAAGUACCGUGAGGGAAAGAUGAAAAGAACUUUGAAAAGAGAGUUAAACAGUACGUGAAAUUGUCAAAAGGGAAGCGUUUGACACCAGUGUUGUUUUCUCGAAAAUCAAUUAAAAAAGGUGAUUUUGUUGUGUAUUGACCUUAACAGCUUCUGCAUUUCAUUUUCUUGUCUUUUUUUAAUGCACUUUUCGUUUAACAAGUCAACAUCAGUUUCUUUUGUUGUAAAAAGGUCAUUGGAAGGUGGCUUUCUUUUCGGAAAAGUGUUUAUAGCCUUUGACUUCUGCAAUCGGAGAGACUGAGGUCUGCAGCGUAGAUCCUUCGGAGUUAGAUACAUUUGUGCUAAGUUAUAGCUUUUUAUAGACAACUUGUUGACUAUGAUUAGUCUUGUAGCUUACUCGCUUGUGCUAUUUUACCUACGCUUAGG